CUCCUCCCCAACCCCUAUUUCCUCUCCUCCCACCUAGAUUUGGUAUGCUGCCACCACCACCCCCUCCUCCUCCUCCUCCGGCGAGCACCUCGCCGGAGCAGGGCCAGAACCACUAGCACCUUACCACUCCCAGCCCUAUUCCCGCUCAGAUCCACCUAGAACUCGAAGAUGCCCGAUGCAGAUCCAUGGCCAGCGGUGGCCUUCCUUGGCGUGCUCUCCUCCCGUCGUGGCUGCAACGGUGAAGCCACUCUUCGUGCUGCUGGGCGUCCGCAGCCUCUACCUGCAGGUGAGCCUGCCCUGCCAUGGAGUCUGCUCUUCAGUUUAUUGUGCUCGCAUGGUGUUUGCCAGAUUGUCUGAGCGAGUGUUUUUCACUUGCUGUCUAUUGGGUCUAGCAGUUUUGGAGCAUAUGGAUAGUCAAACCUUGAUAAUCUUGCUUGCUAAUGAACUUACCAAGUGAUCCAAGGUCAUUUUUCAGUUACUGCAAUGUCAUAGGUGGCAUAUGAUUGGCAUUAAAACAGCACUUUUUUACACAGACAGGUAAGUUUGUUGCGUUUCUCAAAACUGUGCUAGCAAAAAAUGAUCAGGUACCUAACUAUUGCACCUAUACUCUGUAGUUAGCAGUGAGAGUAGUCUCCUACCAGUUGCUUUCAUGAUCUUAUAUUAAGUAGCUGAUCAUGAGGUUUAACUACAUAUAUUUUUGUACAUUCUCUUUUCUAAGAUGCCACAAGAAGAACUAGCCAAACACAAUAUCACACCUGCUCUUUACCAGUAGCAUUAAGAAUUGGAUUUAGGAAGACUAGCAGUAGGCUAGUACCAGUAGGAUAAAGUAGAAGUAGCAGACUACAAACUAGUAGUAGCUGGUGUCAUAUUGUGUCAUAUCUGUGCAAGCAUAAGUUCAUAUAAAGCUAGAGGUGUAUGUUGUCAAUAUCUAUAUCAUAAACUCAAUUUAGGCAAGUACUCCUUCAUCCUAUGUUUUUAAAGCGGUAAGGCGAGGCGAGGCAAUCCACCACCGCCUUAUCGCCUAGGCGGGCUAAGGCGAGACCUUAAGCAAGGCGAGCCGCCACCGCCUUGUCGCCUAGGCGACGCCUUGAAAACAGAGCCUUCAUCUAUUCUAUAGUUUGCUAAUACUGUUAUUUCUAUUUCUUUGAGGUCAAGCCACUGCGGUCAUAAAAGAUUCUAGUAGUGUCGGUGCUGCCGGCACCAAACUGAUAGAUUUGCAGGUCAGCAUGCUCUUUCUCUUUGUCAGACGUUGUAGGCAUUUUGUUGCUCUAUUGUACACUAUUUUCUAUUAAUAAAUUUAAGAUUAGGAAUGGGAAAAUGGAGGUAUCAAUUGAUUUUAGUUUCUGUCCAAGAUCUCUGAUGGAUAAUUUCAGUAGUUGAGGUUAAGUAGUUACGGUUCUUGUAGUUGAGAUUCAACAUUAUUGAUCAUUUCUACAUGCAAUGUGAUUGAACUUGUGCAUCUCAGUUAUCUCUGUCUUUUACCUAUUUUCACUUGGUAAAACAGUUUGUGGAACAUAAUUAGUUGUGAUGGCGAGCAGCGAAGGAAGUCCAGGUUUUGCGAUUUUUUUUUCUCCUCCCUUUUUCAGCUGCAUUUUUAGGAAGGUUGUAACACCUAUAGAAUUAUGUAAUGGAUAAAACAUGUGUAUCUCUUAUGUAUUUAAGGUGUAUUUUAAAUCC